GUAUUUAGGAGAGGAAUGCAGAAAAAAAUUAUAAUUGUUAUAAUAUAUACAAAAUUCUGCUUUUAAAUUCCACGAAUUAAAAUGGGACGCUGUUACUUUUGUAAUAAUACAAAAACUCAUGAAUCUGGAUUAACAUUUCACAAGUUUCCUCUAAACGAUCAACAUCUUUUGAAACAGUGGCUAAAUAAUUUUCCUAUAAAAAAUUGGACACCAACCUUGUCUUCCAAUGAGAAUGACAUCAAUAUUAUAGAAUAAAAGUAGAUAUCAAAUUUUAUUAUAUUUUAUAUUUACAAUUUUAUAGUCUUCUUUACUAUUAUUUUUCUAUGAUUGAUACAUUUCUAUUUUUAAUUUUUCUAUUUUGAUUUGUACAUAAGAUAAAUUGUGAAUAUAACAUAAUAGUGAAUAUAAAAUAAUCUAUUUUUUACAUCAAUCUUGUAAAAGUAAUAAUCAGUACGAAAAUAAACAUAAUGAGUUUAUUACAAAUA